GGAUUGUGGCUCAGUGGUAGAGCGCUCGCCUAUCAUGGGCGGGACCUCGGUUCGAUCCUCAGCACCA
rnacentral:tRNA from 1 species